AUUGAACGCUGGCGGCAGGCCUAACACAUGCAAGUCGAACGAGUGGCGGACGGGUGAGUAAUGUCUGGGAAACUGCCUGAUGUAGGGGGAUAACGACUGGAAACGGUAGCUAAUACCGCAUACUAUCAGUUGUGCCCACAUGGGAUUAGCUAGUUGGGGGGGUAACGGCUUACCAAGGCGACGAUCCAUAGCGGGUCUGAGAGGCUGACCGGCAACACUGGGACUGAGACACGGUCCAGACUCCGACGGGAGGCAGCAGUGGGGAAUAUUGCACAAUGGGCGAAAGCCUGAUACAGCCAUGCCGCGUGUGUGAAGAAGGCCUUCGGGGUGUAAAUGUCUUUCAGCAGGGAGGCGGUACCUGCAGAAGAAGCACCGGCUAACUCCGUGCCAGCAGCCGCGGUAAUAC
rnacentral:rRNA from 1 species